GUGGGGAAUAUUGGACAAUGGGGGGAACCCUGAUCCAGCCAUGCCGCGUGUGUGAAGAAGGCCUUUUGGUUGUAAAGCACUUUAAGCGAGGAGGAGGCUACCGAGAUUAAUACUCUUGGAUAGUGGACGUUACUCGCAGAAUAAGCACCGGCUAACUCUGUGCCAGCAGCCGCGGUAAUACAGAGGGUGCAAGCGUUAAUCGGAUUUACUGGGCGUAAAGCGCGCGUAGGUGGCCAAUUAAGUCAAAUGUGAAAUGCCCGAGCUUAACUUGGGAAUUGCAUUCGAUACUGGUUGGCUAGAGUAUGGGAGAGGAUGGUAGAAUUCCAGGUGUAGCGGUGAAAUGCGUAGAGAUCUGGAGGAAUACCGAUGGCGAAGGCAGCCAUCUGGCCUAAUACUGACACUGAGGUGCGAAAGCAUGGGGAGCAAACAGGAUUAGAAACCCCGGUAGUCC
rnacentral:rRNA from 1 species